rnacentral:rRNA from 1 species
AUUGAACGCUGGCGGCAGGCCUAACACAUGCAAGUCGAACGAGUGGCGGACGGGUGAGUAAUGUCUGGGAAACUGCCUGAUGGAGGGGGAUAACUACUGGAAACGGUAGCUAAUACCGCAUACCAUCGGAUGUGCCCAGAUGGGAUUAGCUUGUUGGUGGGGUAAAGGCUCACCUAGGCGACGAUCCCUAGCUGGUCUGAGAGGAUGACCAGCCACAUUGGAAAUGAGACACGGUCCAGACUCCGACGGGAGGCAGCAGUGGGGAAUAUUGCACAAUGGGCGCAAGCCUGAUGCAGCCAUGCCGCGUGUAUGAAGAAGGCCGUCGGGUUGUAAAGUACUUUCAGCGGGGAGGCGUUACCCGCAGAAGAAGAACCGGCUAACUCCGUGCCAGCAGCCGCGGUAAUUC